rnacentral:lncRNA from 1 species
UUAAAAAUAAAAUAAAGGUAAAAUGAAGAUACUUCAGGCAAGAAAAAACUUUGAAAAUGCAUUGCCAGUAGACCAACACUAAAAGAAGUAUUAAAGGAAAUGAUUCAAGAUAGAAACACGAAAAGGUAGAAAUAAAUGAGGAGUGCUGGGAAUGGUAAAUAUAUUGGUAUAUGGGUAAAUAUAAGUAAAUUCUGACAACUUAAACCAAAAGUAACAAUGUUCUCAGGAAAUUAAAAUAUAUGUAGAAUUAAAUACAUGAUAACGUAGCACAAAAAGCAGAAGGAGAGAAAUGGACUAAUGGUGUUGUACUAACAACACUUGCCAUGGUAACAUCCAAAACUAAACAGAAUGUAACAAGCCAACAAUGAGUAUUCUACUCUCUAGGGCAGGGGUUCCCAACCUCUGGGCCAUGGACAGGUAGCAGUCUGUGGCCUGUUAGGAACCAGGCCGCACAGCAGGAGGCUCAAGCCGUCUGUGUAAUUAUCUUAAACUUUUUCAUUUCGGAAAUGAAACAGCUCCUCCCUUCACCGCCACCUUGGCUAUUUCUGGGACCAAAGGAAUCCUUGAAGCUGACCGGGCAGGAGAGUCCACGCUGGGAGUAAAAUCACUACAAACUGUCCAUCAGAAGGCCCCUGCUGAGUAGUUGGCAGGGUGGCUGCACAUAAUGGAAAGCACAUAAGCUUGAAGCCAGACAGAUGGGAGUUCUAACCCCAGCCCUGCCACUUAUUCCCAGGUGACACUGAGUGGAAAUUAGGCCAAAAUAAAUACUACUUUCUGCUUAAAAAAAUGCAGUGAUGUCCAAAGAGAAGGGAGGAGGAAGGAUGAAAGGAAAGACAGAGGAGGAAGGAAGAGAAGAAAGAAGAGUGGCCGGCACAAGGGCUUGGAGAUCCCUGAAGCUGUUUUCCUUUCUCCUCACCCCCACAGGGAGGGAUCCACAUCGUUGUGGGGUUUUUGUUGUUGUUGUUUUUGUUUUUGUUUUUUUGCCUCCCUUCAUCAAAGCAUUCAUUGUAGUGUAUGGUAAUUGUCUCUGAAUGUAACAGCCUCUCUUCCCUGAGGCCUGGGUCUGCUUGUUUCAUACCAUCUUCUCCUUAACACACAGUGCUUGGUAAACAAUACCUAUUAAUAAACAUUUGUUGAAUGAAUGAAUGAGUGAAUGAACGAAUACUGCACUCUUUCGACUUGGUUAGAGACAUGUCUUGUAGGCUGGCAUGUACUUCACACAGCACUCUUAGGUAGAGUUUGUAUAUGUUAUUCCAUUGAAGGGAAAAGGAAGCCAGACUGUGGGGAGAAAAAAAAAAAAAAAA